rnacentral:rRNA from 1 species
UGGAUGGGGGUGAAAGGCCAAUCAAACCGGGAGAUAGCUGGUUCUCCCCGAAAGCUAUUUAGGUAGCGCCUCGUGAACUCAUCUUCGGGGGUAGAGCACUGUUUCGACUAGGGGGUCAUCCCGACUUACCAACUCGAUGCAAACUGCGAAUACCGAAGAAUGUUAUCACGGGAGACACACGGCGGGUGCUAACGUCCGUCGUGAAGAGGGAAACAACCCAGACCGCCAGCUAAGGUCCCAAAGUCAUGGUUAAGUGGGAAACGAAGUGGGAAGGCUCAGACAGCCAGGAUGUUGGCUUAGAAGCAGCCAUCAUUUAAAGAAAGCGUAAUAGCUCACUGGUCGAGUCGGCCCGCGCGGAAGAUGUAACGGGGCUAAACCAUGCACCGAAGCUGCGGCAGCGAACGUAUCACUUAAAUUUGUUUGAGUGAAUAACGAUUGACGGAACGAAGUGACGUCAAUGCGUUAAUGAAAGUCGAGGCGAAAGCACGACAAAGCGAAUUUAAGGAUACGUUCGUUGGGUAGGGGAGCGUUCUGUAAGCCUGCGAAGGUGUACUGUGAGGUAUGCUGGAGGUAUCAGAAGUGCGAAUGCUGACAUAAGUAACGAUAAUGCGGGUGAAAAACCCGCACGCCGGAAGACCAAGGGUUCCUGUCCAACGUUAAUCGGGGCAGGGUGAGUCGACCCCUAAGGCGAGGCUGAAAAGCGUAGUCGAUGGGAAACGGGUUAAUAUUCCCGUACUGGUGGUAACUGCGAUGGGGGAACGGAGAAGGCUAGGUUGUCCGGGCGACGGUCGUCCCGGUUCAAGCAGGUAGGCAGAGUGAUUAGGCAAAUCCGGUCACUUAAUGCUGAGAUGUGAUGACGAACCACUAAGGUGGUGAAGCAAUUGAUGCCCCGCUUCCAGGAAAAGCCUCUAAGCUUCAGGUUACCAACAAUCGUACCCCAAACCGACACAGGUGGUCAGGUAGAGAAUACUCAGGCGCUUGAGAGAACUCGGGUGAAGGAACUAGGCAAAAUGGUGCCGUAACUUCGGGAGAAGGCACGCUGGCGGUAGGUAAAGUCCCUCGCGGACGGCGCUGAAGCCAGUCGAAGAUACCAGCUGGCUGCAACUGUUUAUUAAAAACACAGCACUGUGCAAACACGAAAGUGGACGUAUACGGUGUGACGCCUGCCCGGUGCUGGAAGGUUAAUUGAUGGGGUUAGCGUAAGCGAAGCUCCUGAUCGAAGCCCCAGUAAACGGCGGCCGUAACUAUAACGGUCCUAAGGUAGCGAAAUUCCUUGUCGG